CCGGUGCUUAUUCUUCCGGUACCGUCAUCCCCCACGGGUAUUAACCACGAGGUUUUCUUUCCGGACAAAAGUGCUUUACAACCCGAAGGCCUUCUUCACACACGCGGGAUUGCUGGAUCAGGCUUGCGCCCAUUGUCCAAAAUUCCCCACUGCUGCCUCCCGUAGGAGUCUGGGCCGUGUCUCAGUCCCAGUGUGGCUGGUCGUCCUCUCAGACCAGAUACAGAUCGUCGGCUUGGUAGGCCUUUACCCCACCAACUAGCUAAUCUGCCAUCGGCCGCCCCUGUAGGCGAGGUCCCU
rnacentral:rRNA from 1 species